CGUGGCCCAGUGGGUGGGACGCCAGGCUGGUAACCCUGUGGUCGAAGGUUCGAGUCC
rnacentral:tRNA from 1 species